rnacentral:rRNA from 1 species
AGUGAACGCUGGCGGCAGGCCUAACACAUGCAAGUCGAGCGGCAGCGCGGGGGCAACCCUGGCGGCGAGCGGCGGACGGGUGAGGAAUUCGUCGGAAUCUGCCUUUUUGUGGGGGAUAACGUAGGGAAACUUACGCUAAUACCGCAUACGUCCUACGGGAGAAAGUGGGGGACCGCAAGGCCUCACGCAGAAAGAUGAGCCGACGACCGAUUAGCUAGUUGGUGGGGUAAAGGCCCACCAAGGCGACGAUCGGUAGCUGGUCUGAGAGGAUGAUCAGCCACACUGGGACUGAGACACGGCCCAGGCUCCUACGGGAGGCAGCAGUGGGGAAUAUUGGACAAUGGGCGCAAGCCUGAUCCAGCCAUGCCGCGUGUGUGAAGAAGGCCUUCGGGUUGUAAAGCACUUUUGUCCGGAAAGAAAUCCCUGGAGCUAAUACCUUCGGGGGAUGACGGUACCGGAAGAAUAAGCACCGGCUAACUUCGUG